rnacentral:rRNA from 1 species
UACGGGGGGUGCGAGCGUUGUCCGGAAUCACUGGGCGUAAAGGGCGCGUAGGUGGUUUGAUAAGGGUGUGGUGAAAGUCCGGAGCUCAACUCCGGAUCUGCCGUGCCGACUGUCAAACUCGAGGGCUGUAGAGGCAGACGGAAUUCCUGGUGUAGCGGUGGAAUGCGCAGAUAUCAGGAGGAACACCGGUGGCGAAGGCGGGUCUCUGGGCAGUAACUGACGCUGAGGAGCGAAAGCGUGGGGAGCGAACAGG